rnacentral:rRNA from 1 species
UACAGAGGGGGCAAGCGUUGUUCGGAAUUACUGGGCGUAAAGGGCGCGUAGGCGGCCUGUUAAGUCGAACGUGAAAUCCCCGGGCUCAACCCGGGAACUGCGUCCGAUACUGGCAGGCUUGAAUCCGGGAGAGGGAUGCGGAAUUCCAGGUGUAGCGGUGAAAUGCGUAGAUAUCGUAAGGAAGACCAGUGGCGAAGGCGGGUCUCUGGACAGUUCCUGACGCUGAGGCACGAAGGUCAGGGGAGCAAACAGG